UUGCCGGUCCCAAGCCCGGAUGAGAAAAUGUGGAGGGAACUGCAUCGUUUCCAUUAGAACUUGCAUGGUCUUGAAAUAUUUUAAUUUGAGUGACAGGGAAUGAAGGGUGUAGAAGUUACUGUCGUUAAUGUCCUAAUCAAACAGUGAAUCAUAGCAUAAUGUGGUAAGCAUAUGAUUCAAGCUUUGAAUGCAUCCUUGCUUGAUAAAAAAGCUAUGCAACUUUAAUGGUAGUUAGAGCUUACCUUGAGGAACUUACUUGCUGCCUUUCUGAAGCUACACAAGAUGUUCUUACGAUCCCAAAGGGGAGUGAGCGUCCUCGUGUAGUGUUCUUUAGACCGUCCACACGAGCGCUUGUGUACGAGGAACCCCCCGGUUCUCUUGCUCGGCUAUGGGCUGACAACACUUGAAAUUAACAAGUGUUAAUUAUGGGGUAACCUCUCUUUAUAACUGCCACUUCUUUUGAAGAGAUGCCUCUUCCUCACAUCUCUUCUCCUUGCAUAUAUACAUACAAUCAUCUAAUGAAAAAGACAGUCGAUUCAUAACAGGACAAAGCUGGAAACGGCACAACACUCGACCGGUGAAGCCACAGCCCGGCAAUGACGCCCCAUUGCUACAGGAUAAAGAGUCUUCGGCGAAUAGGCGGCCGAUUGAAACUUGUUGCGUGGCACAACGGCUAUUCUCGCGGCCCGGGCAUUGAACCGGCCAGAGGGCGACGCAGCCCUCGGCUUGCAUCAGCGUGGCGCGACGGCUUUGGGUGCGGCUUCUCAUGGCACUCCCUCCUGCACAGCCGUGACCGCGUCUGCACCUAGCAAACAACUCUCGGCCUUCAACCGCGACGCGGCCCUAGGCAAAUGACCGCACAGAUCGGCGACGCUCGAGGCAACGGCCCCCCUUCGACACGUGUGUGGCGACGACACCGAUGGUCGAAACAUUGCUUUCGGCAUCGGAGGCGAUUGCUCCCUCCGGCGUGGUUCCCCGCGGCGAAGACAUCGGGGCCAUAGACUCAGCCUUGGCCGUCGAGCCAAAUCGACAUCGGGGCCAUAGACGCAGCCUUGGCCGUCGAGCCAAAUCGACAUCGGGGCCAUAGACGCAGCCUUGGCCGUCGAGCCAAAUCGGUGAUGCGGCAAGGGCAUGGAGACGAAUCCCCGUGGCUCAGAGACAACGGGCUACGGCCCGCUCGCGGUCUCACUUCCGUGGUUACGAGAUUUCUCAGUGAGGAACCGUUCGAGAAAGACAGAGGGAAAAUCUUGUCCCGUUGCCACUUUUGCAUUCAAGUCCUUGUAAUCGCAUUCAGGUCAUUGCAAUUGCAUGAAUUGGCAAAACAGGCUUAACAAUGGUCCACACCGAUUUUACACAUUGGUUCUUUUAAGAGUACUUAACUGUUUUAGACCUUGUUAUUCUCGGUAUUUGUCUUAAGUACUGUUUUUCCGUUGAGUACGAUGUAUUUCGAAAUA